UGCCAGCCGCCGCGGUAAGACGGAGGGUGCUAGCGUUGUUCGGAAUGACUGGGCGUAAAGGGCGCGUAGGCGGUUUUGUUAGUCAGGCGUGAAAGCCCCGGGCUCAACCCGGGAACUGCGUUUGAUACUGCAAGACUUGAGGACGGAAGAGGAAAGUGGAAUUCCCAGUGUAGAGGUGAAAUUCGUAGAUAUUGGGAGGAACACCAGUGGCGAAGGCGGCUUUCUGGACCGAUACUGACGCUGAGACGCGAAAGUGUGGGGAGCAAACAGGAUUAGAUA
rnacentral:rRNA from 1 species